rnacentral:rRNA from 1 species
GACGAACGCUGGCGGCGUGCUUAACACAUGCAAGUCGAACGGAAAGGCCCUGCUUUUGUGGGGUGCUCGAGUGGCGAACGGGUGAGUAACACGUGAGUAACCUGCCCUUGACUUUGGGAUAACUUCAGGAAACUGGGGCUAAUACCGGAUAGGAGCUCCUGCUGCAUGGUGGGGGUUGGAAAGUUUCGGCGGUUGGGGAUGGACUCGCGGCUUAUCAGCUUGUUGGUGGGGUAGUGGCUUACCAAGGCUUUGGCGGGUAGCCGGCCUGAGAGGGUGACCGGCCACAUUGGGACUGAGAUACGGCCCAGACUCCUACGGGAGGCAGCAGUGGGGAAUAUUGCACAAUGGGCGGAAGCCUGAUGCAGCAACGCCGCGUGCGGGAUGACGGCCUUCGGGUUGUAAACCGCUUUCGCCUGUGACGAAGCGUGAGUGACGGUAAUGGGUAAAGAAGCACCGGCUAACUACGUGCCAGCAGCCGCGGUGAUACGUAGGGUGCGAGCGUUGUCCGGAUUUAUUGGGCGUAAAGGGCUCGUAGGUGGUUGAUCGCGUCGGAAGUGUAAUCUUGGGGCUUAACCCUGAGCGUGCUUUCGAUACGGGUUGACUUGAGGAAGGUAGGGGAGAAUGGAAUUCCUGGUGGAGCGGUGGAAUGCGCAGAUAUCAGGAGGAACACCAGUGGCGAAGGCGGUUCUCUGGGCCUUUCCUGACGCUGAGGAGCGAAAGCGUGGGGAGCGAACAGGCUUAGAUACCCUGGUAGUCCACGCUGUAAACGGUGGGUACUAGGUGUGGGGUCCAUUCCACGGGUUCCGUGCCGUAGCUAACGCUUUAAGUACCCCGCCUGGGGAGUACGGCCGCAAGGCUAAAACUCAAAGGAAUUGACGGGGCCCCGCACAAGCGGCGGAGCAUGCGGAUUAAUUCGAUGCAACGCGUAGAACCUUACCUGGGUUUGACAUGGAUCGGGAGUGCUCAGAGAUGGGUGUGCCUCUUUUGGGGUCGGUUCACAGGUGGUGCAUGGCUGUCGUCAACUCGUGUCGUGAGAUGUUGGGUUAAGUCCCGCAACGAGCGCAACCCUUGUUCACUGUUGCCAGCACGUUAUGGUGGGGACUCAGUGGAGACCGCCGGGGUCAACUCGGAGGAAGGUGGGGAUGACGUCAAGUCAUCAUGCCCCUUAUGUCCAGGGCUUCACGCAUGCUACAAUGGCUGGUACAGAGAGUGGCGAGCCUGUGAGGGUGAGCGAAUCUCGGAAAGCCGGUCUCAGUUCGGAUUGGGGUCUGCAACUCGACCUCAUGAAGUCGGAGUCGCUAGUAAUCGCAGAUCAGCAACGCUGCGGUGAAUACGUUCCCGGG